AGGCCCUCUAGUUUUUCUAAUCUAGUAAGGAAGAAUGAAGUAUAUCACGUUUAAUUUUCGUGUCAAGUCAAUCAAAUUGCACAACAUAAAUUAUUUUCGUAAAAGGCCUCAUGAUAACAGCAUGACCUUAUCGUGAAAACGUCUCUGACGAUUACCACUUAAUUCUAGAUUAGAGCUGUUGAGUAACAAUUAUCAUAAUUUACCUAUCAAAGAUCUGAUAAUCUGAUAAGCAUGAAACGUCACCGAAAUUGAUCCAAUUAGAAUGAAAAUAUUCACCGACAAAAAUGUAAGAUUAUCAACUAAAAGUAAACAAAUAAUUUAAUCUAUUUCAAUCUGGAAUGUUAUCUGUUCACAUUUGCGUUGCAUUUUUGCGAUUAACAAUGUUUUGCUUGUCGGCUGGUCUUGCAGCACUCUGAACAGAAUUGUAUAGCUAUUUGGAGAUUCGAAUCUAAUGAAGGCAAGAAGAAAUGUAUCUAUUUAAAAGUUAUCAUGCGCGAUAAAACCUCUUGCGAAGUAGAUUCAUAAUUAUUCAAGGAAGGAGACAUAAGAGUCGAACCAACCGCGGGCCGCCAAGUCAGUUUGUUGUUCUAGCCUCAAUAGGAAUACAUCAGAAACUUUGAGCUACCCAAAACGGUUGAUAAAAGGCGGACAGGUGGCGGACGUAAGGAUAGAUAGACAGACAGCUGGCCAGACAGCGGACACCCUAUUAAUAAGAAUGAUAGGGUUCCGUUUUGACCCUUCAUAUAUGCUACACUGAAAUCGUGUUUUAAAUACAACCGGUCAAGUUUUAAUUUCACUCGCUGUCCUUAAGGUAUAAAUAGGAUAAGGCGGCUUUCUUACUUUUUAACACUUUUAACAUAACUUCGCAGCAACAUAAUUAUUGCUGCUGCGUUGUGUGAUUUUGCAAAAUAUUGUAAUUUAGUUAUAUCUAUAAGUUUUUAUUAUCUUCUACUUCAUGACAACUCUAAAACUACUUCACCGAUUUCUAAAAACCCCGUCUAAUAUCUUCAUAACCACUUGGAAAAAGACGCGCGCUUUAUAUAUACCAUAUGUCCAGCUUAUUAUUAUUUUUUAACUUCAUGUUUUGGUCGUAAAGGGUAGCGAGGUAAUUACAUCUCUCUCAAAUAACUCGCUCGUUUUGCGCAGACUCGUCAAUAUUGAUUUGUUGCUUAUAGCGGUGCACUGUUGCUUUCGACCAGCGGCUCGCGUCGUGUGAGAGUGUUUUAACGUUUUAAAAUUGUGUAAAAGAUAAAAUUGACUUCAAUUUGACUUAAUUUCCAGACAGUUUUACGGUGUACGACCCGGUAAGUACAAAUCUCAUUUGGUAGUUUCUGUAAUCACAAAUUAGCUGGCGUUUGUCAACAUUUGAUUGUGAAUAGUCUCCUAAUAUUUCCAUACAUAAAUCGGUAGUUACAUGAGUAAAUUUUAAUAGGUAGUAGAAUUAUUAUGAAAUAUUAUAUUUACAAUUCAUUUUCUAUUUUUCGUAUUACUUGUGGUACACACAACAUGUGUUUUUAAACGUUUCCAUUUUAUUAACAAACUGGUAGAUAAAUUAAAUUUUCUGUAUAUAUUAACCACUUUGAUCGGAUCAAAUCAAGUCAAAAUUAAUUCACAAGUAAGGCUAAAAAGUAUUGAUUUAUGCACGUGAAACAACAAAUAUUCAGCAUCCCUAUUGCCCAUCCUUCUCCGCUUCGUAAAAGCUUUACCUGUGGAGAAGAAACAACGCUACAAACUACACAACAUAACACUAUCACGGCGUUUGGAACGCAUCCGGAGUCCAUUAUAGGAGUAGCGUCCGGACGCCAUUACCAUUUCCAUAUCGCUUGAAUAUAUUUAGUGGUGAAAGAGUCAAUGAGUUUGAACAAUAUCUGAAAUUAACGAAAAUAUUGAUUGACGUGCAUUUUGAGUGAGAACUCAAAAGCUUUGUUGCAGUUGUUUUUAAGGGUGAAGAAUAAAAGCUCCGGGCGUUUACCGGAAAACCGGGUUUUAAAGCCGAUAGAGGAAAAGUCCAAGAAAAGUCCAGCGAAAUGGUGAAGGGUGCCGGUCAAGACCCUCCGCCGAAUAACUCUGGCUCUUCAAAUGCCAGACCCAGGAGACCAAAACAUGUGAAUUAUUUGCUAAAGCCAUUGCCCGGCCAAGCAAGAGUGACUGGAGCAGUUGUCGAAAAACGCUUUCGGGAACUACAAAGGAUGGGCUAUACUCGUGCCCAGAUCAACAUGGCGGUCAUGGCUGCCAUACUCCAGCUGGUGCGUGAAUUAAGGGAGGAUAUGCGCGCACAUAACAUUCGAUUCCAUCAUGAAGAGGAACUGAAUUAAACUGAAAACUGAGCCUGAGCGAAUUAUACAUCAAAAUUCAUUUUUUUAUGUGUUACAAAUAGCCCGCUUAAAUGUCAUUCUUUUCUCAAAAAAAAUGUCACGCCACUUUGAACUAUCUCGAUAACAAAGACUGUAAAUUAGAUUUUCAUGUUCUUUUCAGAACUUCGUCGCUGGGCGACACAGUUCUAUAAAUUACACAGAGCUUAAAGCGAAGAUACGAAAAAACAUCAUGGUUAAAGUAGCAUUUAUUAUUACUUUUGACUAUCACCUGAGCGUCAGCGAAUUUAGAUUCCAAAAUUUAAAAUUUAGAAUCAACGCCAUUUUCAUCUUCAUUAAUUGUAAAUAAUGUGUCGAAAUUAUUAAGAAAGAACAUGGUAUAGGUAGGAGGGUUUGAAACCCGAAACGUAUUAUAAUGAAUUGCAAUUCGACCUUUAAUGCGAGACCUCCUUUUAACUGCAACUGUGACCAUUAUUAAAACUUAUACGUAAUUCUGUCAGGAAUAAAACACUUAAUUCUGCAUACAACAAUAUUAAUGGUACAUUUCUCUAUCUAUCUCGAUAAAACUAAAGAACAAAAUACUCUUAUCUUGGAAUAAUAUGCAUUUAACUUUAGACGAAAAAUAGUUUUACGUGUCUCAAUUUUUAUGUAACGUAACGUUUUUGUGUAACGUACGUAUAAUUUAAGUAUAACUAAUAUUAUCUACCAAAGUAUUAACCAUUUUAAAAAGAUGAUUUAGAAAUAACGAAAAUACCUACUGUAGUAUUACACAUUUAAAAUUUAAACUGUACUUCUAGCUACUACUUAAGGUAAUUUAUUUAAUUUUAAGCGAUCAUAGCAUUAAUGGAAAGUGUGUCCAAUCAAUUGCAUAUCUGAAGGGCAAAUUAAUGAUGAAAAAUUCACAAGUAUUAACAUACAAUGACAAUGAAGCGGUUAACUAUCUUUUUCUUAUUGUACCGAUCAAUGGCAUUUGAUCAUAUUCUAUUCAAUCAGUACUCCACCAGGCAGAGAACAAUUUCCGUAACAUCAAUAAACUUAUUUUAAUCUC